CGGCUGUAGCUAAAUAAAAAUCCCAGGUUUUAGCACAAAUGAAUGCGUCCAGUCCAUAGUCCAGUCCAUAGUCCAGUCCAUAAUUCAGUCCAUAAUCCAGUCCAUAAUCCAGUCCAAAAUCCAGUCCAAAAUCCAGUCCAAAAUCCAGUCCAAAAUCCAGUCCAGUCCAGUCCAGUCCAUAGUCCAGUCCAGUCCAUAGUCCAGUCCAGGUUUUAGCACAUGC